UCCCUGGGGGUCUAGUGGUUAGGACUUGGCGCUUUCACUGCCAUGGCCUGGGUUCAAUCCCUGAUAAGGGAA
rnacentral:tRNA from 1 species